AGGACAUCCUGUCAAACUGAUCAGCUGCUCAGCAGCUCUGCAGGGCAUGGGCCCAGUCUGUCCUGCAGUGAAGGUGACAACAAAAGGCUUAAAUCACCCUUUCUCUGGAUAAGCAAAGAGGAGGACAGUGGUCACUGUACUGAGAUGUGCUGCAGCGUCACUGUUAUGGAUGUCUGAGUUGACUCUGGACAAAGAUGGGGAUUUAAUGAGGACAGAUUGGGAAGCCGUGAUGGCGGCACAGAAGUUGAGGGAGAAGCUAUUUAUCCCAGACGGAUCAGGAGGUGUGUGA